GAGGAAGUGCACUGGAUUUCUAUAAAGCUAUGAAUAUUUCCUGAACCAAACACAACCAGAUCUAAAUACUACAAUUUCAACUGAAAUUCUUUAACGUCUGAAAAUCACUGGGCUGAAAAACCAGUCAAAUAUUUUACUGUUCAGUUCAUUCCUUCGUUUACUGAAAAUGCAUUCAUUACCUGAGGACAUUAAGAUGCAUGCAGGAGACAAUAGUUCCUGAAGGAAUAUGUAUCCAGGCAUUCAGAAGUUUAAUCCUAGUGAUGUUCUGGAAUGAGAAGACUUGAGUAUAUCUACAGAAUCUCCCUCUGUUGCCCAGGCUGGAGUGCAAUGGAGCAAUCACAGCUCACUGCAGCCUCAACUUUCUGGGCUCAAUCGAUCCUCCCACCUCAGCCUUCCAAGUAGCUGGGACCACAGGUGCACGCCCCUAUGCCCAGGUAAUAUUUUUAUUUUUAAUUUAGUAAAUACACAUUAUCCCUUUUUCUCUGGCUGAUCUCAAACCUCUGGGCUCAAACGAUCUUCCUGACUUGGCUGGAAUUACAGGCAUGAGCCAGUACAUCAGGCCUUGAAUUUUCAAAGAAGAAAGAAACCUCAUGGAAAAGCAUGUUUAAUUAGGGAAAGGAGGCCAAUCGAUACUCAGAAAUUGAAGAUAACCUCUUUUUAUUAAUUAUUAUGAGAGAAGAUCGCAAAAAAAUAGAAAAACAUUUUGACUGAUUUUAUCCUUUCCAAAUACAUCACUGGAACAUGAUCACUACAA
rnacentral:lncRNA from 1 species